CUGCGCUCCGGGCCCUCGGCUGCCUACGCCAGACUGAGCCAGCCGAGCCCCGAACGCGGCCCUGCCCCGGAACAGCCGAGCGCCGAGGCAUUGAACCAGGGUCACGUGACGGCUCGGCCCAUCGCCAUCAGCGUUACCGAGGCGGAAGCGAAGAGCCUCUGUGGUGCUAGUGAGACGGAAGCAUGGGCCGAGGGCGCUAGAACUGACCCUUGCGGGAUUCCGUCCCUUCCUCCAGCCGCGCUAUGCCUGACACAGCAGUGAGUGCGCCCCUAGUGGCCAGAGCCCUAGUGUCCUGAACCCCCACCCCCGGGGGAAGGACCCGGGCCGGCGCGCUGGGCCUCGCCGCGUUGCCAUGGGAACGUGGCCCCUGCGCAGCUCUCCCGCUCCAGCAGGCCCCGGAGCAAGGCCGGGUAACCGCGGCGCUGGGCCGCGCUGCUCCCUGAGCCCAGCGGGCGGCUGUUGGUGUUUCCUCGCCUCAGACUCUGCCCCAGCCACAGGUCCUGAGCCAACUCCUACUGAAGUCCACAGCAGUCUCACUAUUGAUUUCAUUGGGCUCUGGCAUGAUCCCGUGAUGAGGUGAGUUCAGUGUUCCUUGGAAGAUGGACCCAUGGAAACCCACCUUUCUGCUGCUUCCUGCACUGCUCCCAUGCAACUCUGAACCUCCUCCGUGUCUAUAGUGAAGGACACAAUGCCCCAGCCUCACAUGAGCAGCCAGGAGGCUAUGUGAAAAGGAAGCGACUCCACUUUAUCUCCUGCAGAGUGUUUUGUGCCCCCCAUUCACUGGCAAUAAUGACUGGAAACCACAGGCUGGGUCACAAAUGGCACCUUUUGCACCAUGACUGUCACCAGCAGAGGCUGUAUGCGAUGUGAAAAUAUUCUCCUCAGCGGCUUGUCAGCUGUCUGCAGAGGCCUGGACUUUCUAGUUCGGGACCAGUGGGCUCACUGUGCAGCAAGAUUUGUCCCGAACUAGUCACUUGUCACUGCAGGACUGUACGAGCUGUGGCUGGCACCUGGUCUGUUGUAAAUUGAAACCAGGUAAGAAUCAGGUUUUGAACACCGUGGCGACUUCCUCAGAGAAAUCCUCAGGCCUGACUGAGCCAGCCAUAGAUGCACCCAACACUUUAUCAAACAGAGAAACUUAGACAGCCCGUGUUUUAUAGGAGGUUCUAAAUGCUUCUCUUUAGUGAUAACUAUGAAGGUGACUAAGAAAUGCCUUUAACUGCGUGUAGCAUCAUUUGCUCAGUGCAGAUUUGAAAGUGGAGGCUCAGAUUCAAGAAAUGACAUAAAAGGGAGAAUUUCUGCUUUAAGUUAGUUCAUCUUGAUUGUGAACCUAUGACAAGUUGUACAGGAAAUUAUGUAAAGUCCCUGAGUCAGUGUUAUCUGCGAAGGUGGGGAGUGGGAUUCUUCCAGUUUCACAAGCUUUGUAUCCAGAAUAGAAAAAAAAGAAUCUGUGUUCCAGCAACAUUCAGCAAUGAUACACCAAUGAGAGCCAAGUGGGCAGUGUAGCUGGAGCUGAAGUGUUUCCAGCCCUAUUCCGUGAAAAGUGGUGGUAAAAAUGCUCUGUCUACACCAGUGUCUCUGUUGUAUCACCAGCAGAGCUGCAUCCUAUGUGUUUUCCUUCACUGACUCAGCUCCAGUGUAUUGUGGCAGAGUGCCGGCAUUUUUAACACCACUGUGACAUACCCAGGGUACAAUCCAGACUAACAAGUAGCUGCGUCACACCUGCCCUCUAACCUCUGGUGCCCUUUACACGGUCUUGCUGCUGUAGCCUCCAGUCUGGAGUGCUCACAAAGAGCCUGCAAGUCACUCCCAGCCAUGUCUGUGUGCUGCAGCCAGCCAGCCCUUGGCUCUCACCAGCCUGAGUUGUACUGCACGGUGACCCCAACUCACUUCCAGGCCUAGCUUUUCCCCCAGAAGCGUAUGUCCUGUACUGCCCAGCCCUCUCCUGGACAAUGCAAGUUUAUAUAAAUUCCAUCAUUUCAUCCACAGAAAUACGCACACAUCUUGUUACCCCCAACAACAUUUCCCAGACACUUUGAUUUAAACCCAUCGGUUCACAUCAAACAAUAAAACAAGUUUAUUAACUACA
ensembl:lncRNA